GUGCCUGAGGGAUGAACUGAGUCCCUGAUACCAUUAUCCAUCCAUUUCACUUUGUCAACAGUAAUUUUGGUUUUCUGCUGAUCAUUAUUGGAUGGAACAUGU